CAAGGCUUUCACUGUAUUAAAGAGACUUGCAAAUCACACAGAUCAACAGUCACCUGAAGUUCUUGAGAUGCCUACUGUUUCUCAGAGAUUACAAGUCUCCUGUGACUCAGCACUCAUAGUAACUAUUUCCCUGUGAAUAUGUUUUUCAUGCUGGAGGCUGGGCCCUUUUACAGGGACAGAGCCACAACACUGGAAGAAGAUGAGUUUCUUUGGGUAGAGUCCCAGCAGUUGCUAUGGGAAGGCUGCACACUCAACAGACUGGAAGCAAAGAUGGCUGCUGAAGAUUCCCAGAGAAGACCCUGGGAAGUCAGAAUUGACUUGACAGCACCACAUCAUCAUCAUCAUCAUCACCACCACCACCAUCAUCAUCAUUGUGAAACAUAAAAUUCAGGUGGCAACUAUUACAAUAAUGAUCCAGAGCAGAUGGAAGCAGUGCAGGCAGAGAGAUCAAGCCGUAUUUUGAAGAGGUUUAUAACAGCCAUUUUUCUCAGCUUCAUCACUCUUAAGAUGUCCUGGUGUAAGAUGUGUCAACAGCCUUACUUUGCUCUCAUUGAACAAGGGAACAAGAAGUUGGAUGCUAUGGAAUUAAAAUUCUAUUGCAUGGCAGUCCUGGCACUGAAUCAAAUGAUCAAUAGUGCAUGGUGGCUUAUAAGCAAUUUGGGGAGAGCUGAUGUAACAAUUUUCUUGGAGUGUCUUUGAGAACAACACUACAACAUGGCUAUGGUAUUUCAGGCAGAAGAACAUCAGCUGCUGGCCUGUUGAUUAGCAUCUCAUGCCACAUGGCAGACUGUGGAUCAAAAGCCGUAACAAGAACUGAAUUUUUUCAUCAAUAUGCUUGGCUUCACUUUUCAAGGUUAACCCAAGAAUGAGAGAUAUGUAUUUCUAUAUGUGAUUGUGCCUGGAAGCUGGGCAAGUUCCAGAAAAUAAAAACUACUGUCUACAGGUGGGUACCCCUUUCUUUGCAGAGACUGAAAUGGCUCUGAUCCUAUUGUAACUGCUCCUCUUUGCAUUUGACCAAUCAGCACAAAUGCUUAAUUCCAGUAGAUGGAAUAUCAUUGGGCACCUUACUGAAUGCAGUGUGACUUUUUCUGAGUAGCAUUUUUGAACUUCCAAUCAUGCUUGCCUGUUUCUGUCACUUACGACACCAGUAAUCAACAGACUUCUUCCUUCCUUGAUACUCAAAGACCAUCACCAUGGAUGAUCUUCAGAAAUGCUUACCAUCAUGCACCUAGAAUCUGAGUCUCACCCCUGAGUCAUCAUCUAUUCCAGUCAUCCAUUUUCAGUGUUCUGGGAGGAGAUGCCAGUGCUUUUGUUUAAAUGUGUAGUAGAAGAUCUACCUGCUUACUGAAAGUCCUUUCCCUAUUAUUUCAUAGUAUUGAAAAAGAAUUGAGGCUGAAAUUCAUAUCUUUUAUCUGAGAUACCAGCUUCUUCAUCCAUCUGAAGAAGAUUUUGCAUGGUUACUCUUACCAGUAUUUUUCAGCUCCUCCAAAGGGUUGUUUGACUUGCUAGUACAAGCCUAAACAUCUAACUUCUGUUAAGGGAGUUGCUGAUUUCUCAGAUUCAUAAUGAGUCAUUGGUCAGAAUUUUAUAGGUGAUGAAUGCAUGUAGGAGCGGAAGUGUGUACGUUACAGCGGCAAAUUGCCUUUCAUUAGUGGUUGCAAUCCAGAUCACAUGCCUUGUUGUGCAGGGGCAUGCAACCAAGCAUAUGAUGGGCAUAUUGUUAAUUAGAAGAAAUUUGCUGCUGCAAGUUAUGUGAUUCUGCUUAAGUUAGUUAUGUGCUGCCAAGUCAGAACUGACAUAUAGCUACCCUAAUAUGGCUUUCAAGGUAGUGAGAGAUGUCAGGAAUGGUUUUAUCAGUUCCACUUCACUUACAUGUAUAUAAAGUAACAACAGGAUUGUAGUAAUUGGAUGUACUAUUUCAAAGUACUGCUCUUCAUUCAGCCCUGCUACAAUUCCAAGUUGUUUUUUUCUAGGUGGAAAGUGGAAGUGGGAGUCCAG